UACGUAGGGUCCGAGCGUUGCCCGGAAUUAUUGGGCGUAAAGGGCUCGUAGGCGGUUCGUCACGUCGGGAGUGAAAACUCGGAGCUUAACUCCGAGCCUGCUUCCGAUACGGGCAGACUAGAGGUAGGCAGGGGAGAGCGGAACUCCUGGUGUAGCGGUGGAAUGCGCAGAUAUCAGGAAGAACACCGGUGGCGAAGGCGGCUCUCUGGGCCUUACCUGACGCUGAGGAGCGAAAGCGUGGGUAGCGAACAGG
rnacentral:rRNA from 1 species